rnacentral:misc_RNA from 1 species
AGCAGCCGCGGUAAUUCCAGCUCCAAUAGCGUAUAUUAAAGUUGUUGCAGUUAAAAAGCUCGUAGUUGAAUUUCGAGAUCAAAUUGUUGGUCGUGCCUUGGUACGCACUGGCAUUAUUGGUUUCUCCCUUCUGACGAACCAUGAUGUCAUUAAUUUGGUGUCUUGGGGAAUCAGGACUGUUACUUUGAAAAAUUAGAGUGUUUAAAGCAGGCUCACGCUUGGAUACAUUAGCAUGGAAUAAUGAAAUAGGACGUUUGAUUCUAUUUUGUUGGUUUCUAGGAUCGACGUAAUGAUUAAUAGGGAUAGUUGGGGGCAUUAGUAUUCAAUUGUCAGAGGUGAAAUUCUUGGAUUUAUUGAAGACUAACUACUGCGAAAGCAUUUGCCAAGGAUGUUUUCAUUAAUCAAGAACGAAAGUUAGGGGAUCGAAGACGAUCAGAUACCGUCGUAGUCUUAACCAUAAACUAUGCCGACUAGGGAUCGGAUGAUGUUAAUUUUUAAUGACUCACUCGGCG